UGACGGUACCUGACUAAGAAGCCCCGGCUAACUACGUGCCAGCAGCCGCGGUAAUACGUAGGGGGCAAGCGUUAUCCGGAUUUACUGGGUGUAAAGGGAGCGUAGACGGCAAGGUAAGUCUGAAGUGAAAUGCCGGGGCUCAACCCCGGAACUGCUUCGGAAACUAUCUCGCUCGAGUACCGGAGGGGUAAGCGGAAUUCCUAGUGUAGCGGUGAAAUGCGUAGAUAUUAGGAGGAACACCAGUGGCGAAGGCGGCUUACUGGACGGUAACUGACGUUGAGGCUCGAAAGCGUGGAGAGCGAACAGGAUUAGAUACCCUG
rnacentral:rRNA from 1 species